rnacentral:rRNA from 1 species
AACGAACGCUGGCAGAAUGCUUAACACAUGCAAGUCGAACGUGAAAGUCCUUCGGGAUGAGUAAAGUGGCGCACGGGUGAGUAACACGUAGGUGACCUGCCGUUUAGAGGGGGAUAACCAGAAGAAAUUUUGGCUAAUGCCGCAUACGAAGAACAAAUUUAAAAAUAGUUCUUGAAAGGAUGCCUCUGUAUAUGCAUCUACUAAACGAUGGGCCUGCGGUACAUUAGCUAGUUGGUGGGGUAAUGGCCUACCAAGGCGACGAUGUAUAACGGAUCUGGGAGGAUGAUCCGUCACACUGGAACUGAGACACGGUCCAGACUCCUACGGGAGGCAGCAGUGGGGAAUAUUGGACAAUGGGCGAAAGCCUGAUCCAGCAAUUCUGCGUGAGUGAGGAAGGACUUCGGUCUGUAAAGCUCUGUUAAUGUGGAAAAAUGGUAGUUGGUCUAAUAGGCCGGCUAUUUGAUGGUACACAUAGAGGAAGCACCGGCUAACUUCGUGCCAGCCGCCGCGGUAAGAC